AAAAAAAAAAAAAUAGUAUCAAUGUAUACACGGUGAUCUACUAGUUACGCAGCUGUUCUCUGCACGAGAUUCCCUACUCAAAUAUUUUCCACUUUCACGUACCGUAAACAACGUGUAAUGCAAAAAGUUUUCGAGUAUCCGUAAAGUAAAUGAAGAAACGAAAAAAAGGUGACAUCCACACUGACGCGUAAGGGUGCCGCAACGCCAAGCUCGAAGGGUCGAUACAGGUGGCUAAGGGAGAAUCAACUUUGAUUUUCAGUGGCAUUCGGGAGAAUGGGGGUUCCCCCUUUUUUUUAUUGCCUACAGGAAGUCGGCAAAUAGGAUGCAAACAGGGGGAGGUGGGUGAAACGAUUAACAAGCGUCGGUGGAAAAUGCGAUUUUAUCGGUGAGCGAUUGAAUCGUUUUCGUCCUUUCUCCUUCUUAUCUUUUUUCUCCUCUCUACGCUUUUACGAUAAUUUCGAUAGAACGAAAAAAGGUUCACCUCAUUUAUACACACCGACGCGUCGCAUUGUCGCCGCCCGAAGGAUUCGCGGCUACGAAAAUGUGACGCGGAGGAGCCGACGGACGCCAUUAAUUCUUCGGUUCCUUUGUCUUGUUUUUCCAUACAACCUGUCAAGAAGACGAGGCGACGUCCACGUCCCGACCAUAUAGAACGGGUUCCCUUUUAUCAGCGUAUAUCUACAUCUGAAUGGCAUCCGUAGUGGAAAUUCAACGAAAGGCAUCAUUUCUCCCACCUGGAGAAAUACGUUAGUGACUCAUAUACAAUUGUAUCCGUUCAAUUUUUCCCACUUGCACGAUACAUUCCACCCAAUUGACAUCUCUAUAUUUUUUUCUCUCUCGAUUCUAUAAGGUGCCAAAAUUCACCAGGAGCUCCGAUUCGGGAGGAAUAAGCGUGCACUCGGCUUUUCCCUCGGUAUCCUCUUGGGAUGCUGUUAAAUUUCGAAGCGACUUUCAUACAGGAACGUCAUAUCCAGAAUGAUGCCCGGACGAUGCUCGUCGAUAAAAAUGACACAGUUUAUCGUGGAUUUGGGAGGGAAGAGGAAAAAGAUAUAUAUAUAUAUAUAUAUAUAUAAAGAAGGAAUCAUAAUUGCCCAUAACGAAAUCUUCCCUCAGAUAGGAGGAUAGGAUACGUCGUUAUCUUUGGCCAGCGAGAAGAGGAAGGUCGGGAGGCGAAGACUAUGGGAAGGAAAACUGGGAAAGGAGGUAAAGAUGAAAAGACGGGCAAAGGGACUGGUGGGCUUUUAGGGAUCCAGGGAAAACUUCAGCCGGAGUUUGGUCUUAUCCAAAUCGAUAUCCUCUAUACCUAAAGUUUCGCUACUUGAGUUCCGGGCUCUUCGGGGUAGCCGGGGUUUCUCAAGUUUUGACUGUGGAUAGAAAGUCAGAUGUCCAUUCCGAUUUCUACUCUGGCAGCCAUUUUCAGUAGCGUCCCUGUCCCGAUCGGCCAUUGUCAACUGGUAUUGCUUCGCUCCUGGCGCAUCCAAACUUUUUCCCGCUAGACAGUAAACUUGCUGCGCAUCAUCCUCGACGUCCAAGUCGAUCUCGAGAGGUCGAUGAGGUGAAAAGGAAGCGCGAAGAAGUUUUCAAAGCACUCGCCAAGAUAUUUCGAUUUAGUGGUUUUAAAAUGUGUACAUGCGCCCGUGUAUAUAUAUAUAUAUAUAUAUAUAUAUAUAUAUAUAUAUAUAUACAUGUAUAUAUAAGAGAGAGGGUAAAAUACACGAAAAGUGAGGUUAGGAAGGCAAAAAGGUUGUUUUUCUUUUUCUAUCGAACCUGAAAAUAAAAAGUACGCUGGGUUUCUUCCUUAUGAGUUUUUAAGGUGGCUCCACAAAGAGCGACGUACGCGA